ACUCCUACGGGAGGCAGCAGUGAGGAAUAUUGGUCAAUGGACGCAAGUCUGAACCAGCCAUGUCGCGUGCAGGAAGAACUGCCCUAUGGGUUGUAAACUGCUUUUAUACGGGAAGAAAUAUAGCUACGUGUAGUUAUUUGCCGGUACCGUAUGAAUAAGCAUCGGCUAACUCCGUGCCAGCAGCCGCGGUAAUACGGAGGAUGCGAGCGUUAUCCGGAUUCAUUGGGUUUAAAGGGUGCGUAGGCGGAAGUAUAAGUCAGGGGUGAAAGUUUGUGGCUCAACCAUAAAAUUGCCUUUGAUACUGUAUUUCUUGAGUACAUUUGAGGUAGGCGGAAUGUGUUGUGUAGCGGUGAAAUGCUUAGAUAUAACACAGAACACCGAUUGCGAAGGCAGCUUACUAAACUGUAACUGACGCUGAUGCACGAAAGCGUGGGGAUCGAAACAGGAUUAGAUACCCUGGUAGCACAGAG
rnacentral:rRNA from 1 species